rnacentral:rRNA from 1 species
GUCCUUUUGAAUUUUAUUUAAGGUCUAGUCUGCCCACUGAAUUUAUAUUUUAAAUGGCCGCAGUAUUUUGACUGUGCAAAGGUAGCAUAAUCAUUAGUUUUUUAAUUAAAAGCUUGUAUGAAAGGCUGGACGAGGUAAAAACUGUCUCUAUUUAAAUUAUAAUAGAAUUUAACUUUUAAGUUAAAAGGCUUAAAUAUUAUUAAAAGACGAGAAGACCCUAUAGAGCUUUAUAGUUUAUUUAUUAAAAUUAAUUUAGAAAUAUUUACAUUUUAGUUAAUUAGAUUAUUUUAUUGGGGUAAUAGAAAGAUUGAAUUAAUUCUUUUUUAUAAUAAACAUUAAUUUAUGAAUAUUAAUGAUCCAAUUUUAUUGAUUAUAAGAUUAAGUUACCUUAGGGAUAACAGCGUAAUUUUUUUAAAGAGUUCAUAUCGAUAAAAAAGUUUGCGACCUCGAUGUUGGAUUAAAGAUUAUUUUAGGUGCAGAAGCUUAAUAAAUUUGGUCUGUUCGACCAUUGAAUCUUUAC